UGUGAUAGUCUAAAUCUCAUAAUAUUUAGGAAUGAUUUUAGAUAGGAAGAAUAAGGUUUUUGAAGAUUCUUGGAUAAGAGCUUGAACAGAAACAUUGAACCCUAGGCUAAAGGUAAAUGAUCAAGAAAACCUUUCUUGAGAUUCUUGAAUUAAUUUCUUUAAAUUUCUAUGGCCAAAAAUUAUGAUUUUCAUAAUAAAGAUGAAAAUUUGAUUUUAAAAACAUUUUUAUUAGUCAAGGAAUUUGUUUAGGAUUUUCUUGGAGGUAAAAAAAAUAAAAACAUCACUUUUUAAUAUUUUCCAGUCAGCUAAUUCGUAACAGCACCGUAUAAGUUACUAAAAUAGUCAUAACUUUUUACUCAGAAAUUGGAUUGGCGUGAAUUUGGUGGCGUUGGAAAAUAGAUUCAAUUACAUCUAAUUUAAUAAGGUUAUGGCUCACAUAACUCUUAAUAUUUUAAGAAAUAUAGUGGUCUAAAAUUGACCAAAGUAGAAUAUUAACAUCAAAACUUAAUCGAUAAGGAAGCUUCAAGAACACUUUUCAUGAACUCAUAAAGAACUUAAAUCCUUAAAUUUCAAGAAUGAAAUCACGUUGAAAAUAACAUGAUUGGCGUGUAGGUGAAUGAACUCAACACAUUUGAAGCUCACCUAUCUUUUAGGGAUCACCCCUUGACGAAAUUCACAAGUGAUUCUUUAACGUGCUUGACGAAUAUUGAACUUCUUUCCUUUUCUUCUUUCCCCUUCUCUCCAUGCCCUAGCGUGAAAAUCAUUUUUCUAAAUUGAAUAAAAUAUGACUUUAUAUAAUUAAACUCCUAAAAAUGAAUAUGAAAUAGACCAAAUUAUCCUUCUAAAAUUCGUUUUUCAGGCUUUCCUUAUUUCAACAGCUCAACUUUCAAAGGGAAUAACUCACUCAAAAAUUUUAAACAAAAAUUUAAAUUAGAUUACAUUAAUUUAAUAUUUUAAACAAAAAAUUUAAAUAUUCAAAAAUUAUAUAAAAAGUAUUAUAAGUUAUAAUUUUCGCAUGUUUAUAUAAUGAAAAAUAUUAAUCAAAAUUUUUAUAAUUUAAUCCUAAAAAUAAAAAUCAUGAUAACUAAAAUUGGAAGGAGGGAAAGUUGCUUUGACUUAGAUUUUUUUUUAAAAAAAAAAAGGAGGUUGGAAAAGAAAGACACAUAAAGGCAAGCAUGUAUGCCACGUGUUGAUGUGCUUCCACGUGUGCGCUUAAGGGUUUAUUAGCCGACACAUAUUGUGUAUAAUAUCAUCAUAUUCAUAUUUCUCCCCUCUUAUCGUAACUCCUUCAUUCACUUUUUCUUUUUAAUUCUCAAGUUUUAUUUUUUUUUAUUAUAUUAUAGAAAAAAGAAUGGGUUCUGAAACAUUUCUUGAAGUCAUCCUUGCUAUCUUACUUCCUCCUGUUGGUGUUUUCCUACGUUAUGGUUGUGGUGUAAGUUGUCCUCUUUACCCUAAUUAAACAUACAUCUUUUUUAAUUACACCCAUCACUAUUUAAAUUAUUAGAUACAAUACAUAAUUAAAUAUGUCAUUUAGUUGAUAUUUGUGUCCUAAACAACUUUGGAUGUACUUAAAUUUGAACAAUGUAUAGUAGGAUGCCACAUACAACAUAAUACUGUAUGAAUGUAUUUUGUUUGUUCAAAUUGAACGUACAUGUACAAUUGGAAGAGUAUGGAUUGCAUGUGACUAUCAAAAUUUUCAUUUUAAUAUAUCAUAUUAGGAAAUGUAUUAUUAAUUAAUUCAUAAUAAUGGAUGGAUGCAGGUGGAGUUUUGGAUUUGUGUGUUGCUGACAAUACUGGGAUACAUACCGGGCAUUAUUUAUGCACUCUAUGUCUUGGUUGGAUAGUAUAAUAGUGCUAUUUGCCUAUCAUUCUCAAAUAAAGAAGUACUCUUAAUUUCUUGUUCUGUCUUCUUUUUUAUUUUGUAUUCUCUCUUAAAUGUUCUUAAAUACACUCCCCACUGUCUUAUAUAUGUUUGAUCACUCUUAUCUUUUUUAAGGUAAUUACUAUUACUAUUUUUUAGACCACUUCCUUUUUCAGUUGAUCUACUUCCUUUUUGACGUAUAUUGAGAAAUCAUAAAUAAAAUGUUAAUUUUAUUUAUUCGUUCUUAAGAAAAAAUUGAUGAACAGAUAAUAUGAGAUUUUGAGAUCAUUAUUGUCCUAGUGUAGUUGGUUGCUCAAUGUAAAUACUUUAAUGUUGCUACUACGUUUUAUAUUCAACACUUGAUCGAGUUGGGGAUAUAGGCAGAGAAACAUUCGUGGUUGAGACUUUUUUAAGAUUAGUGAGAAGUUAAGAGACAGUUUGUGCAGUUAUAAAUCAACCGUCUAAAAUAUAAUUGAUAUCAAGUGUGGAAAUUUACGUGUAUAAAUAAAUAUCUACUACUAAGUUAAUAUAGUUAUAGUUUUUUUUUAUAUAAUUUACACGCUUUUAUAAUUUGAUAUUUGUAUAUAAUCUAUAUAAUUUUUGUAAUGAAUUUAUGUAUUUGUUUGCACAUCGAAUUAUACAAAUAAUUCGUGAAUUAUAUAAUUUCGUAAGCACAAAAAUAUCCUCUUUGUUAUAAAAUCAAGCUCAUGACAAUAUAAAUAUAAAGAGAUGAAGACAAGAGAAGUAAGAUGGAAGAUAAGACUUUCUUCUUAUUCAAGUGUAUGCAAGUCUCAUAUGUAUCUAUUACAAUAGUGAAUGAACAACCCUAUUUAUAGAGUGAGAAAUCACUCCAAAGGUCACCAUAUUAUUUAUCAUAAUAAAUAGAUACAUUCUUAUCCAAAUAGGUUCAUGUAACCUAGUGAAUAUGAAUGGUUGUUCAUGUACCAACCUUAUGGACUAUCCACUCAUUCAAUGAAUUUAUAACACUCCCCCUUGGAUGUCCAUAGAUAAUGUGCCUCGUUAAAAACCUUACUAGGAAAAAUCCUGUGGGAAAAAAUUCUAGUGAAGGAAAAAGAGUACACAUAUUUUUUGAUACGCACCAUUUGUUGCCUCAUUAAAAACCUUGCCAGGAAAACCCAGUGGGAAAAAACCUCGAUCAAGGGAAAAAGAGUGCAACGCGUAUUGUACUCCCCCUGAUUUAAACAUCACUUAAUUUCUUGCGAUGAUGUCUCCAAUCUUCGUACAUUGUGGUUGGUAUAUUUUUUUUUUAAAGAAAAACCACACAUUUCUUGAAUAUGGUGUGUCAUUUAUCUCAACCAAACACACUUUCAACUUGCUUCAUGGAGGACUUUUAUUUCUGCAUAGCAAUAUUUGUUUGCUUCAUUGAUCGCCAGGAUAUUAUUGUGCCUCCACAUGAAUACACAUAGCGUGGUUGAGAUAGAGCUUUAUACGGAUCAGAUAAAUAUUCUGCAUUUGCGUAAUCAAUCAAUUUUGUCUUGGAUUCCUCGGGAUAGAAUAAACCCAUAAAUAUGGUUCUUCGAGGAUAUUCAAUCAUGUGCUCAAAACACCAUUUCAAUGUCCUUUUAUCGGGGAGAAAAUGAAUCUUGCCAGUAAAUUUACUGCAAAACAAAUAUCUGGAAUAAUAUUGUUAGUAAGAUGCACUAGUGCCCUGAUUACACCAAGAUAGAGUUUCAUCACCAAGAAACUCUCAUCCUUCUUUUGAGAUCAAACUGAAUCAUCAUUUAUGUCAAGUGAUCUCAUAAUCAUUGGGGUACUCAAUGAAUGCGAUAUAUCCACAUAAAAUUGCAUCAAAAUUUUUCAGUGUAUGUGCACCGUUAGACAAAUAUUUUAUUUGUCAAAUUAACAAUCUGUAGGUCAAGACAAAAUUUUGUCUUACCAAGACCUUUUCAUAAAAAUACAAGGACAAUUAGGGUCAUUCUUUUGUACCCUUUUUCUUCCUUGACUAUUUCAAUCCAUAUAAGAAUUCUUGAAGCUUUACUGGAUAAGUUUCUUUCAAACUCUUAUAUGCUUCAGACACCUCGAUUGUUUCAAGGAUUUUCAUAUAACCUUCAUUGUCUAGCUAGACAUUACAAUUAUUCGUUUACAUGCAUUCAAGUUUUCAUAUGUUGCCAGAUCAAAACAAACCUCAUUUCAUCCACCAAAGGAGAAAACAUCUCCACUAAUGUCAGGAGUUUUGCGAUAAACCUUUAUGCCCCAAGGCACAAAUCGUAUUUGAUAACUUACGGUUAUACUAUCGCAUAAUAAUUUAUUUGUACCCCACUGACACUAUAUCUUGAUUUAUGGACUACCAGUCCAAAAUGUCACUUUUCUAAGUGAAACAAAAUAUACUUGAAUUGUGCAUUUUACUUGGUCAACCAUUUAUCUGUUCACACUAUAUGACAGAUUUGAAUUCAAGAUCCUCAUCACAAUUUAUAUCAUUGAGCGCUACCUCAUAUCAAAGAUACCGUCGACAGUUAUUUGAUAUCGAUUUCAACAAGACAUAACUUAUCGAGAUCUCUUCAUUUUUCAUUAUUUCAGGUACCUGAACCUUUUUCAAGAUUUUAUGAAGUGUUAUGUCAAUGUGCUCUUUUAUAGCACUUGCCUCAUUAUCAUGACCAUAUUGAUCAUUUGCUCCUUCCUUCU
rnacentral:lncRNA from 1 species